rnacentral:rRNA from 1 species
AGUGAACGCUGGCGGUAGGCCUAACACAUGCAAGUCGAACGGCAGCACAGUAAGAGCUUGCUCUUACGGGUGGCGAGUGGCGGACGGGUGAGGAAUACAUCGGAAUCUACUUUUUCGUGGGGGAUAACGUAGGGAAACUUACGCUAAUACCGCAUACGACCUACGGGUGAAAGCAGGGGAUCUUCGGACCUUGCGCGACUGAAUGAGCCGAUGUCGGAUUAGCUAGUUGGCGGGGUAAAGGCCCACCAAGGCGACGAUCCGUAGCUGGUCUGAGAGGAUGAUCAGCCACACUGGAACUGAGACACGGUCCAGACUCCUACGGGAGGCAGCAGUGGGGAAUAUUGGACAAUGGGCGGAAGCCUGAUCCAGCCAUACCGCGUGGGUGAAGAAGGCCUUCGGGUUGUAAAGCCCUUUUGUGGGGAAAGAAAAGCAGCAGGUUGAUACCCGGCUGUUGUGACGGUACCCAAAGAAGAAGCACCGGCUAACUUCGUG